GGUUUUGUGGUGUAGUUGGUUGUCACGUCAGUCUAACACACCGGAAGGUCUCCAGUUCAAAUCCCGCCGAAGCCA
rnacentral:tRNA from 1 species